rnacentral:rRNA from 2 species
CAACCCUGAUCCAGCCAUGCCGCGUGAGUGAAGAAGGCCUUCGGGUUGUAAAGCUCUUUCGGACGGAAAGAAAUCGCCGCCUCUAACAUAGGCGGUGGAUGACGGUACCGUAAGAAGAAGCACCGGCUAACUACGUGCCAGCAGCCGCGGUAAUACGUAGGGUGCGAGCGUUAAUCGGAAUUACUGGGCGUAAAGCGCACGUAGGCGGAUCGUUAAGUCAGGGGUGAAAUCCUGGGGCUCAACCUCAGAACUGCCCUUGAUACUGGCGAUCUCGAGUUCGAGAGAGGUUGGUGGAACUCCGAGUGUAGAGGUGAAAUUCGUAGAUAUUCGGAAGAACACCAGUGGCGAAGGCGGCCAACUGGCUCGAUACUGACGCUGAGGUGCGAAAGCGUGGGGAGCAAACA